rnacentral:rRNA from 1 species
GGCGGCGUGCUUAACACAUGCAAGUCAAGGGGGCCCAGCAAUGGGCAACCGGCGAACGGGUGCGUAACACGUGAGCAACCUACCGAACUGUGGGGGAUAGCCGGCCUAACGGCCGAGUAAUACCGCAUACGCUCUCUGAGAGGCAUUUCUUUGAGAGGAAACCUACGGGACAGAUCGAGGGGCUCGCGGCCUAUCAGCUAGUUGGCGAGGUAACGGCUCACCAAGGCAACGACGGGUAGCUGGUCUGAGAGGAUGGCCAGCCACAUUGGGACUGAGAUACGGCCCAGACUCCUACGGGAGGCAGCAGUGGGGAAUCUUGCGCAAUGGCCUAACGGCUGACGCAGCGACGCCGCGUGUGGGAUGAAGCUCUUCGGAGUGUAAACCACUGUUGCCCGGGACGAAUAGCUCGAUUAAUCGAGCCUGACGGUACCGGGUGAGGAAGCACCGGCUAACUCCGUGCCAGCAGCCGCGGUAAUACGGGGGGUGCGAGCGUUGUCCGGAAUCACUGGGCGU